UUUGGAUGUCAUCUCUUGCCCUAUUUUUUUCCUGUAUGAAAUGUAUAGGAAGAAGGAGAUGGGGACUUUUGAAGUGAUGAGCACUUUUGAAAAAUGUCACCUUCCCCAAGGUCUGCUGGGAGCCCUUUAGCAACCUCAAGCUCUUGGGUGCCUCCACAUCAUGUAUGAGAGCAGCAGUUCAGAAGUAUGGAGGACCCUGGAAUAUCAAGCAUUUACUGGCCACAGUGCUAUCAUCUCUGACAGCUGGGAGGCUCAACACAACCCCUUAGGGUGAAGCUAUGAUGAGACUGAAUCAUGUUACUGAAUCAGGAGUAUCGUCAGAUCAUAUCAUGUGUUGUGAGAAUUCAUAGGAACCCCAGCCUUCAUCCCAAAGCACUUACAGUCCAAGCUGGAGGGCUUGUAAGGAGGAGGGUCAUAGUAAAGUAGGGAUCUCAGUGCUAUUUUGAAUUUUGUGAUUCAUAGCUGUCUUUUUUUCAAUAAAGUUAAUUUUUUCUUUUAUUGCAUUUUGAUGUAGAAGAAUAUGAAAUCUUACAGAUGUUAUGGUAAGAGCAGGCUGCCUUUCUAUGUAUGCUUCUGUGGGGGGAUGUCUUUUCUGUGCAGUCAGUCAGCAGGAUCGAGCUUUACCAUGAAGCAGUUUGGUCUGAGCUGCUUUGCCUCACUGGCCUGUUCAGAAAGCACUAAGGCAGGCAAAGCCAGCCAUCUUUACAUCCUCACCCGGCGACAGUAACGGGCUGCUGCCUGUGGCUGUGUGCAGGGACCCUCCUGCUCCACGGGAGCUGAUGCUGUUACGCUCGGCAGAGCAGGUCUGAACAGGGUGAAAUGAAGAGGAAAUGCCAGUUCCAGCGCUCCCAGAUGGCUCCGGGCUACUUCGUACACUAACUUUUUCAGCCUCAAGAGGUUUUGCAUGUUAAUUCCUCACCCUUCACAAACUGCUUUUGGAUUAGCAGCCGAGAUCCUGGAAAGCCACCCCUCUUGUGAUUCGGGAGACUUGAGCAACACUGUGUUUAUUGGGCUGCCUGCUCUGCUCUCCUGUUUUGGUAAUCCUCUGCUUUCCUGCAGGUAUUAACAUGUACAAGAAAGUUUCGUCACAAUAAACAAUAGCCAAACAUGACAUUUUUUUCCGUCCAUCAAAGAUACCAUCAUACUUUUAAAUCAGUCCCAGCGAAAAUCAUCAGUGAGGCUGCAGAAAGGUCAAAGGUUUGCCGGUUUAGGAUUUCGUGGGAAUAUGCGCUUGUUUGGACUUGGCCCAAGAGCUUCGUUUACCUGUUUGACAGGUAACAAUUAGCGAGUAAUAGCUCUGCCGGCUGGAAUGCAGCUGCGAGGGCCAGCGGGCGCUGGGUUACCUGGUGGGCAGGUGUGGGUGCAGCGCCCAAAUAGGUAUGUGCAUGCACAGCAUUCCUGGGAAUCAGUUUUCCCUUAAAGAUGCAGCGAUGACUGCAGGGCACAAAAGGGCUGGGCUUAGCCCAGGCUCCAAGGCGUUGAGCUGUUUGCAAGGUAAAGAAGUAAAGUAAAUAGUGGAAGAGAAGAGGAGCUGAGGAAAAGGCUGAGAAGCAACUGCCCCUUUUUUCCCUUGCCUGGAGAGAGGAGAGUUUUGAUUCUUCCCUGAGAAUCUCAAUAAUGGAGAAUUCAGUGCAAUUAUGGUGUCAUGGGAGAUAAAAAUGGAAGAGCUCAGACAGGGUAGAGCUGAUUGAAGAAGUGCAUGUCUGUCUAGAAGUUACGCAGAUGAGUGGCCAGCAUGGCUCAGGAACGGUCCGUAAGGAUUUCUUGUGCAUUUCUCCCCGCUGGCAGCCCAGCACAGGCACAGUAGCAUGCAGCAGAGCCAAGAAGCUCACCUGGCACAGUAUAAAUGUGAAGUGGGAAAACCCUGUAUCAGUUGGUUUUGAAAUGGUUAAACAUCUUAUGAGCACUUACCUUCAACUCUGCCAUUAGCAAGAAUCCAAGCCUCAAAUUUAUCGAAUAAAACCACUUUAUCUGUGUCAA